GUUUGAUCCUGGCUCAGAUUGAACGCUGGCGGCAUGCUUUACACAUGCAAGUCGAACGGCAGCACGGGCUUCGGCCUGGUGGCGAGUGGCGAACGGGUGAGUAAUGCAUCGGAACGUACCGUGUAAUGGGGGAUAACGUAGCGAAAGUUACGCUAAUACCGCAUACGCCCUGAGGGGGAAAGCGGGGAUCGUAAGACCUCGCGUUAUACGAGCGGCCGAUGUCGGAUUAGCUAGUUGGUGGGGUAAAGGCCUACCAAGGCGACGAUCCGUAGCGGGUCUGAGAGGAUGAUCCGCCACACUGGGACUGAGACACGGCCCAGACUCCUACGGGAGGCAGCAGUGGGGAAUUUUGGACAAUGGGCGGCAAGCCUGAUCCAGCCAUGCCGCGUGAGUGAAGAAGG
rnacentral:rRNA from 1 species